rnacentral:rRNA from 1 species
UACGUAGGUCCCGAGCGUUGUCCGGAUUUAUUGGGCGUAAAGCGAGCGCAGGUGGUUUAUUAAGUCUAGUGUAAAAGGCAGUGGCUCAACCAUUGUAUGCAUUGGAAACUGGUAGACUUGAGUGCAGGAGAGGGGAGUGGAAUUUCAUGUGUAGCGGUGAAAUGCGUAGAUAUAUGGAGGAACACCGGUGGCGAAAGCGGCUCUCUGGCCUGUAACUGACACUGAGGCUCGAAAGCGUGGGGAGCAAACAGG